GCAACUUUUAGCCCUGCCCACCGCUUCUUACCGUCUCUUCCCGCUGAGGGGACCCUGUUCCCGGGGAAAAAAACUCCAGGUUCAGAGCUGUUCAGUGACUUGUCCAAAGGCAUAUGCAAAUGCAGUGGCAACAUCAAGCCUGUGAUCAACCUCAGCCCAGAGCAGGAGCCCAGUUGGCUCCCACCACCAUGUUUCUCCCAGCUCAGGCUCCCUGUUGGUGUGGUUUCAGCUCAGACUCAAAGAAUUUCCUUUCAAAAAUGGUAGGAAUGGAUCAUGGCUACAGUGUGGCUGUAGGAGGAACUCCGUGCCUGUUUGCAGCAGCCGGUUUAGAGGUCAGUAGCUGUGGAUCACCAGGGACACAAAGCACUCUUACAGAGAGAUCCCAACAUUCGUUUUCCGAUGAACACAAAUCUUCUGUGGGGAUGCUGCAGAUUUUUAGGGUACAACCAUUGCAGUGA
rnacentral:lncRNA from 1 species